AGAGGAAAAACCCGGAGUCCAAAACAAAAUCUAAUCUAAUCUGAAUGACGUCGUAAUAAAGGUCCAGUCCAACGUAGCUGUUGCACAAUCGAAUAAGUUUCACAUUUAUGGAGAAAAUAUACGAAUUAUAAAGCGAUUGAGAAUAUUUAAAAAGUAUACUUUAUAACAAGAUUGAAUUGCUUUAAUUAUGAGUGAAAACGUUGUAUUUAAAACGGAAAAGGGUUAUUCCCACGCAAAGCAGUGUAACGUUAUUUUUGAAUGGAAAAUAGACGAAAUGUCACUGUUGAUUGGACGUGCUAGAGCUAUUCGUGAUGAGGUAAGCAUUAAAUCACCGACAUUUUCAUCUGGUUCCAGUAUUGAAGAUUCAUGGCAUUUGGAAUUAGUAUUUAAAAAUGAUGAGAAUGAGAUGCUUGAAGAUGAUGAACGUAAAAUAGAAAUUAGAGUGUAUUUGAUGUCAAACAAUGAAAGAAUGAUAGUAAAUACGAAGUAUUGCUUGUUUAUGUUGAAUAAUAAGAAAGAAAAAUAUUCUUUUGAAUUUUCGGUCUUAAACUAUCCGUACUCGAAGAUAACUUUCGGUCCUACAGAAAUGUAUCAGGAACACUAUGAUGAGAAUGAUUCCGAGACCAUUAAUAUAAAAGAACUAUUGGAAGAAGAAAAUUCAUUCUUGCCGAAUGAUGUUUUAACAUUAUGUGUUGACUUGACUGUAUAUGAUGAUUAUAUAUCAUCAAGUCAUACCAUAAUUCCACUACAAACUACAACCCAUAAAAUUACUGAUGACUUGAAAGAUCUUUUUAUGACCAAAAAAAGAAGUGAUGUUGUUAUAACAGUCGGUGAUAAAAAGUUUCAAGCACAUAAAAUCAUUUUAGGAGCUCGUAGUCCUGUAUUUGAUGCGAUGUUUUCACAUGACAUGAGAGAAAAGAAAGAAAAUGAAAUAGAAAUACCAGACGUUGAUCCUCAAAUAUUCAAAAAACUUCUCGAAUUCAUAUAUACAGAUGAAGUCAGUGACUUGGAUGAUUAUGCUAAAGAAUUAUUAGAAGUUGCAAAUAAAUACCAAAUGCAAUCACUCAAAGAAAUGUGCGCAGUUUCUAUAUCUAAAACGAUAAGUGUUGAAAAUGUCAUUGGAAUAAUACGUUUUGCUGAUCACCAUAAUACCAAGCAAUUAGCGGAAUACGCUGAAAAAUUUAUAAUUAUGAACUUCAUAAACGUUAUGAAUACUAAAGAAUACAAAGCACUGGAAACUUCCCAUCCAUCUUUAUUUUUCGGUAUUCUUAAAAAAUAUGCAGCUGGAAAUAAAAUUUAAUGCUUGAUUCAAACUUAAUACUUAUAAUUAACAAACAAGUGAACGUAAAUUUCAUAUCUAUUCAUAGAUUUUUUAAAAUUACAAUUUCAUAUAAAUGUAAUCAGUAAAAACUAUCUUUUUAUUUUGUAAAAUGAUGAAUAAUAUCCCCUCCUUCAAGAUAUAUAUUUUUAUAUAAUAAAUAUGAUUAGAUUCUGUAAGAGUAUAACAUCUGCAAAAGAUUUUUCUAUUUGUCAAUUGAUGUCACCAUCAAUUACUUCACGUGGACAUAAUUUUUAAUUAUAUAUUUCAAGCUUUAAAUAAUAAAAUACAAUUAUAAAUCAUAUGUGUAUACAUAAAUAUAUAUAUAUAUAUAUUUCUGUAUUUAACAAUCUGAUUAUUGAAGUAUUACCCGAUCGGCAUGAUUGUCAGAAAGUCAUUUUAUUAGUAUCAAAGUUAUCUAAAAAAAUGUGUUAUCUUUCUGAUAUCCACGAAGGCUAGAUAUCGAGCCUUCGCAGUAGUAGCAGUCCAACGUAAUUGUUGUACAAUUCAAUAAGUUUCAUAUUUAUGAUGAAAAUAUACUAAAUAUUGAGUGAUUAAGAAUAUUUGAAAAGUGAACAUAAAAAAAAAAAAUAAUAAUUCUAAUUAUGGAUGAAAGUGUUGAUUUCAAAAUGGAAAGGGGUUAUUCCCAUUCAAAGCAGUACUCAAUUAUUUACGAAUGGGAAAUUGAUAAAAUAUCAACGUUUAUUGAAAUGUCUCAUUGUUCUUACAAACCUUUUAUAUUGAAAUCAUCUAAAUUUUCAACUGGUUCAAGUAUUGGAGAUUCAUGGUACUUGCAAUUAACGAUAGAAGGUGGAGCAGAAUUUAUGCCUCUUGGCGCUCAUCUAGCCGUUUUAGCAGUAAAAUUGAUAUCAGAUAUUGAAAACAAAGAGAUAAAAGCAAAGUAUUUGAUUUAUAUGUUAAAUAAUAAAAAGGAAAAAUUUACAACCAAGUUUGGAACCCUAAAUCAUCCCUACUCCAAGCCAGCUUAUGGGCAAAUGAUAACAGAUCCGGAUUAUUCUGAUCCUGAUGAUAAAACUGAUCCUUUCUCGAAUUAUAUCAACAUAGAACAACUAUUUAAAUACAAAGAUACGCUUUUACCAAAUGAUACUUUAACAUUAUGUGUUGAUUUAACUGUGUACGAUGAUCGUGAAGUAUCAAGUAUUGCCGCAAUUUCAUUGAAAACUCCACAGCAUCAUCUUGCUGAUUACUUGAAAGAUCUUUUGGAUACUGGAACAAAAAGUGAUGUUGUUAUAACAGUCGGUGAUAAAAAGUUUCAAGCACAUAAACUCAUUUUAGGAACUCGUAGUCCUGUAUUUGAUGCGAUCUUUUCACAUGACAUGAAAGAAAAGAAAGAAAAUGAAAUAGAAAUACCAGAUGUUGAUCCUGAAAUAUUUAAAAAACUUCUCGAAUUUAUUUACACAGAUAAAGUCAGUGACUUGGAUGACAAUGCUGAAGAAUUAUUGGAAGUUGCAGAUAAAUAUCAAUUACAAUUACUUAAAGAUAUGUGUACAGUUUCUUUAUCUCAAACAAUAGAUGUUGAAAAUGCCAUACCAAUAAUGCUAUUUGCCGAUCGCAAUAAUGUCCAACAGUUGAUAGAAUACGCUGAAAAAUUUAUCAUAAUUAAUUUUCAGAAAAUAAAAAAAACUAAGGAAUACGAAGCACUGGAAACUUCUCAUCCAUCUUUAUUUUUGGCUAUUUUAAAAAAAUGUGCAGCUGAAAAUAAAAUUUGAUGCUCUGUAACAGGACAAGUAUUUUAAUCUACUGGAUAAUUACAAGCUUAAUAUUUAUAAAUCACAAACAAGUGAACGUGAAUUUCAUAACUACAGAUUUUCAUAAAUUAUAAUUUCAUAAAAAUGUAAUCAGUAAAUAUUAUUUCUUUAUUCUGUGAAAUGAUGAUAAUAUCCAUUUAUUUAUGACAUGUAUUA